GAAUCUGCCAAUCACCCAGAACAAUGACACUGUACGUCAGAUGAAUAGUUGGACCAUCAUCAAGACCCCACAGUCAGUCAAGCUUAUUUCAGACCUACAAGGUCACAUUCAGGUGAAGAUCCCUGCCAUUUACCACCAGUCUACCUGUGGUCUUUGUGGAAACUACAAUGAUAAUCCCUAAGAUGACCUGCAGCUGCCCAAUGGCACUGUGAUCUCCGAUCCUGACAUUUUUGGGCCAUCUUGGAAGAAGUAGUCUCCUCACCGACCCAAGGGGACCAUUCUCCUCUUGUCACCAUUUAGUGGAUCCACAGAAUUACUACUCACUCAUGACAUGAAGAUACUUUGUCUUGCAAAGGGGCAGCACAGGGCCCUGUGUGAGACACUGUGGGUUUAUGAUGCAGCAUGUAAGGAAGCAGGAGGGGUGACUGACCUCUGGACAAGCACUACAGGCUGUGCGUAUCAAUGUCCUCAGUCUAGCCACUACAGCCAAUGUGCCAAUGUUUGCUCCUAAUUGUGCCCUGGGAUUAGCGUGGCAGUGCAGUGCCCCAGAGACUGUGAGGAAGGUUGCAUGUGUGACACUCAUCACUUUUUGGAUGGCCAUGCCUAUGAACCAGCUGAACAGUGGGGCUGUGUCCAGAACGGAACAAGGUUUAAGCUCAGAAUUCAACUUUGUUUCGUUACAUCAUCCUGUCUUACACCGUUAUAUGAAUUCAUAUUCAUAUUCAUAAUAUUCAGUCGAGUUAUGGGUUCUCCAUGACUUUCCUCUCUGGUAAGUGAUCCUCUCCACAACAAAAGUACUAUAUGGGUAUUCAAUGAUAUAUGUACUGUAUAUGACACGUAUUAAUUAUUUUCUGCUUCUUCCAAAGUCACGUCACUGGAUGAUAACUGAUUGAACAAACAAAGAGGGCACACCCUAAUCUAAAUACACAGGCCUCUGAGAGCAAACUUCUCCAAAACUGCACUGUUAAGUGCACCUGCGGGCCUCCUCUCGUCUGUGAGAAAUACUCCACUGCACAGUUGUACAGUUCUAGAUGGAAUCAUGGGAUGCCACAAGAAUGCGCAUAUCCCAGAUCCCUGUGAGGGAAAACAUGAUGAAACAGAGAAAUGCUCCCUGAGCGAGGG